rnacentral:rRNA from 1 species
UACGGAGGAUCCGAGCGUUAUCCGGAUUUAUUGGGUUUAAAGGGAGCGUAGGUGGAUUGUUAAGUCAGUUGUGUAAGUUUGCGGCUCAACCGUAAAAUUGCAGUUGAAACUGGCAGUCUUGAGUACAGUAGAGGUGGGCGGAAUUCGUGGUGUAGCGGUGAAAUGCUUAGAUAUCACGAAGAACUCCGAUUGCGAAGGCAGCUCACUGGACUGCAACUGACACUGAGGCUCGAAAGUGUGGGUAUCAAACAGG